UACAGAGGUCUCAAGCGUUGUUCGGAUUCAUUGGGCGUAAAGGGUGCGUAGGCGGCGCGGUAAGUCGGGUGUGAAAUCUCGGAGCUUAACUCCGAAACUGCAUUCGAUACUGCCGUGCUUGAGGACUGGAGAGGAGACUGGAAUUUACGGUGUAGCGGUGAAAUGCGUAGAUAUCGUAAGGAAGACCAGUGGCGAAGGGCGGGUCCUCUGGACAGUUCCUGACGCUGAGGCACGAAGGUCAGGGGAGCAAACGGG
rnacentral:rRNA from 1 species